AGCGUGUGUUCGAGGCGCUCAAGUCUGUACGCAGCUUUUAAUGCUGCUUCAUAGUUUAUGAUACAACGGUUCAUGUGCUGCAUCAUAAAAAAACUAAGCUGAAUCGUAGGAAAACUGUUGUAUCAGUUAAUAUGCAACGGAAUGACAACAGUUCAUAUGCUGCAUCAUAGAAAAAGUGUUGUAUCAGUUAAUAUGCAACGGGUUGACUCU